ACCAACAGGGAUUGCCCUAGUAACGGCGAGUGAAGCGGCAACAGCUCAAAUUUGAAAUCUGGCUCUUUCAGAGUCCGAGUUGUAAUUUGCAGAGGGCGCUUUGGCUUUGGCAGCGGUCCAAGUUCCUUGGAACAGGACGUCACAGAGGGUGAGAAUCCCGUACGUGGUCGCUAGCUAUUGCCGUGUAAAGCCCCUUCGACGAGUCGAGUUGUUUGGGAAUGCAGCUCUAAAUGGGAGGUAAAUUUCUUCUAAAGCUAAAUAUUGGCCAGAGACCGAUAGCGCACAAGUAGAGUGAUCGAAAGAUGAAAAGCACUUUGGAAAGAGAGUCAAACAGCACGUGAAAUUGUUGAAAGGGAAGCGCUUGCAGCCAGACUUGCUUGCAGUUGCUCAUCCGGGCUUUUGCCCGGUGCACUCUUCUGCAGGCAGGCCAGCAUCAGUUUGGGCGGUGGGAUAAAGGUCUCUGUCAUGUACCUCUCUUCGGGGAGGCCUUAUAGGGGAGGCGACAUACCACCAGCCUAGACUGAGGUCCGCGCAUCUGCUAGGAUGCUGGCGUAAUGGCUGUAAGCGGCCCGUCUUGAAACACGGACCAAGGAGUCUAACAUCUAUGCGAGUGUUUGGGUGUCAAGCCCGAGCGCGUAAUGAAAGUGAACGGAGGUGGGAACCCGCAAGGGUGCACCAUCGACCGAUCCUGAAGUUUACGGAAGGAUUUGAGUAAGAGCAUGGCUGUUGGGACCCGAAAGAUGGUGAACUAUGCUUGAAUAGGGUGAAGCCAGAGGAAACUCUGGUGGAGGCUCGCAGCGGUUCUGACGUGCAAAUCGAUCGUCAAAUUUGGGCAUAGGGGCGAAAGACUAAUCGAACUAUCUAGUAGCUGGUUCCUGCG
rnacentral:rRNA from 2 species